ensembl:rRNA 5S_rRNA 5S ribosomal RNA
UUUUUUAGUUUAGCUCCGUCACCUCAGGCUGUGAUCUCAUCAGAUCUCACAAGCUAAGUAAGGUCAGGCCAGGUCAGGAUUUGGAUGGGAAACUUCCAAGGAAAACUCAGAUGGCUGCAGGAA